AGGUCUAAUGAGCUAUAAUGAACUCUAAUAGUGGAAAACUCAUCUAGGAGCCAUGACCUUGGCAUUAUGACUAAUAUACACUACCAUAACACAUCUAAAAACAGCCUGGGAAACAAGCUAAAGCAUGCCAUCACCUGACAUGGUGUUGAUGUUUUAACCUAAAGCUUCAUAGAUGACGCUUGAAUGGAGCGGUUUGUUUUGGCAGACGGACCAUAGAGCAGAGGAAAAAAGGCUGAGAAGACUUAACAAGUCAGAGGAGCAGCAUCUGCUGUUGCCGCAUCUCUAGCAGGAAUCGGGCCUUAAAAGUCAAAAGCAGGAGGUGGGAUGGCUGCACAGAAGCAAACUUCAACAGCCUUGACAAACAGUUGGGCAUGUGGUUGAAGAUCUACGCUAUAGCUGCUGAAAUCAUCA